GCAGUGGUGGCUCAGUGGUAGAAUUCCCACCUUCCAUGCAGGAGACCCGAGUUUGAUUCCCAGCCAAUGCA
rnacentral:tRNA from 1 species